rnacentral:rRNA from 1 species
AUGGAGGAUCAUACCUGGUCUUUCUUCAAGGUUAUGAUUCUCAGUAAUUUCAAGGAUGAAAUGGCCAUACCAGAAGAGUUCGCCACUAAUUUCAGAGGUGACAUAUCUGAUGAAGUCAAACUAGAAGUCCCAAAUGGUAAAAUUUAUAAUGUUCAGGUUGCCAGGGAACAGGAGAAGUUUGCAAGGCCUGGACAAGAUGAUGACAGGAUGAAGAAACCGUGUGUAGUAUGCACAGAAUGUGUUGGUCACCAUUAUUGGCACAUGAAAGAUCAUGACUGGUCUUUCUUCAAAAUUAUGACUCUGGGUAAUUUCAAGAAUGAAAUGGCCAUACCACCAAAGUUCGCAACUAAUUUCAGAGGUCACAUAUCUGAUGAACUCAAACUAGAAGUCCCAGAUGGUAAAAUUUAUAUUGUUCAGGUUGCCAGGGAACAGCAUAAUGGGGACUCCCACUUCAAAGUAAAAAUCUUUAAACCAAGUGGCUGCGAGAACGAGCUUUCAUGUGUUAUCAUGAGCUGUGGUCCUAAUCUCCAAGAGAGGGACAUUUUUCAUGAUCAAUCACUACCCACCAAAAAAGAAAGCCAGAACGACGCUGAAGAUGUAACAUUUCCAAAAGAUAUUCAGGAACCCAGCAGUUCAGGUGGCCUUCGGGGGUCUACCGAAUCACAUUACAUUUUAGAAAUGGGUUGUAAACUGACUAGUGCCCAGAAGGCAAGAGUUGAUGCAUUUUUGAACGAAAAUCGGAAUGGAAUUCAAUUUUAUGUCACAGCCAUGAACGAGAAAAAUCUAUCUGAUGGAUUUCUGGUCAUCCGUAAGGAGUAUGCUGCCAAUCACCUUCCUCAUCAAGACCAGAUUAUCAAACUUUGUCAUCCUCAGAACAGCAAAACAUGGGAUGCCAAUUUGAAGGUUAUCACUGAUGGAGCAUGCAUCCUUUCUUGUAUCAUUUUUUCUGGUUGGCCCUGCUUUGUUCGCGACAACAAAUUGCAGGAAGGCGAUAUCUGUGCAUUUGAAAUGUCAAAGAGCGAUGGUGGAGUGGCAAUAAUAGUCUAUCAUCUUAAACCAGCUAGCCGGCAGAAGAUGAAAGUGACUCGCACUGACACGGGGUAUGUGGUUACCAGAUGCACCGAACUGACUUGGCAGCAGAAGAGAAAAAUCAAAGAGAGGCUCCUUGUUAUUCAGCCAGAAACCAAAAUAUUCGUGUCCAUCAUGCCUAGCUGCCGUGCCAAGCUGUACAUCGAACAGGGAUACGCUGAUGAUCAUCUUCCACGCGAGGAGCAGUGGAUGAGGCUUCAAGUGCCUGGGAAGAACCACACUUGGGAAGCCAAGCUCUAUAUCGGCGACAAGGAAAAGUGCAAAUUUUAUGAGCUACACACAGGCUGGAAGAAGUUUGUAAACGACAACAAGCUGCAGGAUGACGACAUGUGCCUGUUUGAGCUGCUCAAGAACGAGCAGAAUAUUCUCCAUAGGAUGUGUUUCGCGCCCUAUAUUCGAAAUGUAUUUGUGCUUCUUCAAAAGGAUGCGAACUUUUUCGGCUGUGCUCAGUGGCUGAGGCAGGAUUAA